CGUAAACCUCCAGCCCUGUAGCAGGAGGCAUCCACAGGGGAGCCUCCAGCCCCCUAGCACAGGAUAGCACAUGCAAUAUAUCAACCGUCUCAAGAAACAGAAACUUUGACUUUGAAAGCAAAGCCCCCAUGGACUGACCAUCCCCCUAUUUCCUGCUUUUCUAUCCCUGAGUGUGGGGAAACCCUACAAACAUGCAGGUGGGGAAAUGGAAACAAGCAGCCAUCCAAUUUUUGAGAAUGUUCUUGCCAGGUGAGAAAAAUGCUCUUGGAGAACAUAUAAGGAAUGGAGAAACCCAGGGGAUGGCAUCUGGAAAAUAAGCACCUUUGUAGGCCAAAAAGGCAGAAGUCUGAGCGAGGAAUGCAGGCUCUCUGUGUAUGGAGCUAAGGAACAUGAUUUUUGCCUGAGGCCACCUCUCGAAUCUCUGCAGCUUCUACUAUUUACUGCUCUUCUUUGUGCUAUCUCCACGCAGGUGCCCAAGGUCUACACUAUUCAGCCUGCUGGGGUUUCAAGUCUAGCUGCUCUCAAGGUAGACUAUAUCAGUGGGUGGUAAGGAGAGGAAGAGUCCUGAGUCUACAGGGUCGCCAUGUUUACUCAGAAGUCAGAUGACAGCUUUCUGAAGAGAUUAGUCAAGCAAAGAGAGAAGGAUAAGGAAUCUAUAUAUAUAGAAGAGCUGACUUAUCAUUGAACCAAUUUGAUCCAGUAACAUCUAUUAAGCAACUAAAAUACCCAUUGCUCAGAGUUUCUGUGAUGUUCAGAGAGGACUAGCACCUCUGGUGUAGAGUUUGCUGAACCUUUGGUGUCUACCUUUCACUCAACUCUCACCUGUAUCUCUAAGAAGCUAUAGUAUGCACAGGGACCACAUCCUGAUAAACCAUCUCAACAGAUUGGCUAAACCAGGAUGAGGAUAACCAACAAGGUUCAGAUCUGUUGAUGUCUACCUCAAGCCUGUGAAGACUUCCUUUGGCAGAAUGGAUGGAUGAGAACAAUUUGUUCCAAUAGCCAUGAAAGCAGCUGAAGCAGAACUUGUGAAGAUGCCAAGGACUUGCAUGUCCAAGCCAUCCCCAGUCAUCCUGAUUUUUGACUUGACAUUGUACUUAAAUGACUCUGGAACAGAGAGUGAGACUGCUGCUGACUUUGUGCCACUCUGCUUGACUUAAAUUCAAUUCACACACAAGUCAAGGCAUCAUCCCAUGACGCCAUCGUUUCUCUUCAAAAAUGAAGGACAAGUAAUAAUCACUUACCCAAAGCCCAAUGAUAGAAGUUAGAGAUAUGAAGACAAAAUAUACCCAUUCUGUCCCAGAAGGACUGCCUUUUCAUUUUUUUAAAGAAUGCAUGUGUGGGGGAGUGGAGUAGGGAGGACAGAUACCUUAUAUGUCAAGUAAGUAAAUAUAAAGUUAAUAAAGGGAGCACAUUCUCAACUUAUCCACAAGAAAUAAUAGAGGAAGUGCCAGUUGAAUAAAGAGAGAGACAGAGACAAACAGACAGAAAGAUAAGAAAGGAGUCCAAUCUAGGCCUGAUGAAUAGCUUAUACAAAUGAAAAAAAGUGGAAGAUUCAAGUCCAGGAGCAAUUAGUUGUCCAAUUUGGUUAGAACAUGCAGAGAAAUAUGGCAAUGAAGAGCAAUUGAACCCUUGUACUACUAGCCUGACUUUUCAAAUUCUUUUUUUUUUCCUUUUUACUGAGCUUUUCACAGACCCCAUUUGGAGUCGCUGGAAAUAGAAGGAGCAUCAAUUCUUGAGUCUGAUACCUCUUAGGAAAGGGAGGUUCCUUAACAAAGCUCCAUGUCAUUUUUUCUCCCCAGCCCUGAUGCUUCCAGAAAGAGCCCUUCUAUCUCUCUGCCCGGGAACACCAUAUACAAUGCACCACAUUAGCUCUACAUGGACUUGACUAUGUCUCUCAUGAUUUAACAAUGAAUCCACUUGAACAGGGAUGAUUAGAAUAGUGUGGCAGAAUCUCCCUUCAAAUUGCUAUACCAGUGACUAAUAGCUAGGAAAUUCGUGUCUCAAAUAAAUAAUUGGCCUUCAGCCACGUCCCUCAGCUGGAUAGACAUGUCAAUGCGAUCCUUCAGAGCCUCAGAAGCCUCAAUGAGCAUCAUUGCUAGAUCAUAAUUGAUCAUAUUAUAUUUAUAUCUGUUGAAGGAUGUAAUUUACUGUUAAACUACAGAAGCCCAGCCCAGCAGAGCACCCCAGAAAGGACUCCUUCCAUGGAAGAAGAAGCUUGAGCUAUAUUAUACACAGGCUAUGGUUUUUAAAAUAUUAAUAAUAUUGUAAACUAAAGGUUUACUUUAUGUGCCAUAAAUCUGGCUGUCUCUUCUUUCUCUAUGCCCCAUAAAUAUACUUCUCAUCAACUUUUAAUUAUACUGUUUGCAUUAUUCUGUCCUGAAGAGGAGCGGGCCCCCUAAAUCACCACCUUCUAAUGUAGACUACAGCAUAAGUUUAGUUAAUUAAACCAUAUAUUUUAUUAGUUCUUGCCCUUCCAUCUUGUAAAACUAUACAUUACUAUGUUGGGGGGGGGGACAGCAUAAAAUAACAUCGUAAGCUCCUUUUUAUUUUUAUUCUUUUUAUUACUCUGGAUUUUAAGAUGACACUGGAAAGAGUCUAAUAGGAUUCCUGAUAUCAAGUACUGCUGCCUUGUGGUUUGCUGGUGAACUUCUUUCCAGGAAAAAUAGUAGAGAAUGUUAGAGGAAAAGCAAAAAUGUAGUGUGAACAAUGUGAACCCAAGGGUAGCUUAGUGGCUCAGUGGAGAGAGAACCAAGCUAGGAGACAGGAGGUAAUGGGUUCAAAUCUGAUUUCAGACACUUCCUAGCUGUGUGAUUCUGGGCAAGUCACUUGCUCUUGUUGCCUAACCUGUACAUUCUUCUGCCUUAGAAUCAAUAAUUAGUAUUGAUUUUAAGACAGAAGGUGAGGGAGAAAGAAGGAAAGAGAAAGAAAGGAAGAAAGGAA